rnacentral:rRNA from 1 species
GGGCCCGCACAAGCGGUGGAGCAUGUGGUUUAAUUCGAUGCAACGCGAAGAACCUUACCAGGACUUGACAUACUACAAAUUCUUUUGAGAAAAAGAAGUGCCUUCGGGAAUGUAGAUACAGGUGGUGCAUGGCUGUCGUCAGCUCGUGUCGUGAGAUGUUGGGUUAAGUCCCGCAACGAGCGCAACCCUUAUUUUUAGUUACCAAUUCGUUGGGUUCUCUAGAAAGACUGCCGGUGACAAACCGGAGGAAGGUGAGGAUGACGUCAAGUCAGCAUGCCCCUUAUGUCCUGGGCUACACACGUGCUACAAUGGUUAAGACAAAGAGUCGCGAGCUCGUGAGAGUCAGCUAAUCUCAUAAACUUAGCCCAAGUUCAGAUUGUAGGCUGCAACUCGCCUACAUGAAGUUGGAAUC